AGGCCACAACAGUGAGAGGCCCGCGUACCACAAAAAAAAAAAAAAAAAAAAAAAAGAGUCAAUUUGAAAUUAUAGCUCAAUGGAUAAAGCACGUGGGAACUGGUGUCCAGGUGGAUGAGUGCACAUUUUAGUCAACUUUUCCUGGUAUUUCCCACAGCUUCUAGCCUAGUGAUCUUCACACAGGAGGAGCUCAACAAUCACAGAUCACAACAAAUUCAUUGUAGCCUCAUCGAAUUCUGUGGUGGAUGGAAUACAUCAUAUAUUUCCAGACCUAACUAUGAUUGCUAUCAGUGCAUGUAAGGAAAGAGGCAGGGCAAGAAGGUGGAGAGAGCAUGCGGCUGGGAGUCGAAACUAGAAAUGUCCUGGGCCCUUGCCUGCCAGAUGACUUUGGGCAAAUCACUCCAGUAAUCUCUAGGAAUCAAUCACUGAUCUGUCUAGCCAAAGGGUUGUUGAACGGGUCAACUGGAAGUAACAUGCUGCAAACUAUAAAGUAUUGUACACAAAUCAGAUAUUCGUAUUGUUAUUGCUAUUGUACUUUCAAACAGGGAAUGUGAGUGUCAGGAUUUAAGUGACCCGUCCAAGAAAAGAAUCCUAAAGUGAAACCCCAUCCUUGGCCAUAUCCUCUGCGCUUCUCAAGUUAAGGGAAAAGUUGAUGCUCUUAAAACACAGUAGAAAGCAAGCCUUGAACGAGCUAUUCUAGGCAAUUUAGAAGCCAAUAAUAUGAAGCUUGCAAGCUACUUAACUUAUGGGAGCCUCUGUUUCCUAUUUGUUGUCGGGAAUCCAUUUGUUGGACAACAAAAUGUUAAUAUACAAAGUACCUGCGUCCUGUGUGCCGUGGCUCGUGUGAGGCAUCAGGACCCACGCAGAGCAGAGAGGAACAAGUCUGCAGAGCCUUCAGGACUGAGGCAAUGGAAAGGCCAUCCUAGAGGAUGACAGAAGGAAGCCCCGAGGCCUUGGUGGUCUCUACCACAAUCUUGUUCAGUGGGCAGCGGGGUCACAGAUUCAUCUGACUGCUGGGAAGUCGUCUGGCUAAUGUCAAAGUCAUGUUUUACCAUUGCAGGAAAUGUUUCCAUUUGAUAAGCAGGUGGUGUAGAAGCGGUGAUGGGAUGUCUUUAUUUUGCUGCUGGAACAGAAAUUUGAUUGGACGUUUUUGAGUGUCACCCUAUGUAUUAGCUCUGUCUUCGGCUUGGGGGAAUCCAACCACGAGGGGGACACAGUCCCAGCCCUCAAGGGGUUUAUAGUCCUAGACUCAGGCUAGGGAGCUGUUGUAUAAACAAGCCCUGUCGAGGGGUAGAAGGUUACAGGUCCACGAGGGACACCAGGCAACCUGCUGAUGCUUUCAUUUUCGAUGGAUGUCUACAGGGAGAAAACAGGCUGGUAUUCUCCUUCAUGAGGCUCUGACGGAACGGAACCUCUGAAUCUGUGAGACUGAGGACCGCACCCUGAGCCAUGAUGAAUUCACCAGGUAAACGCCACUUUGUAAAGGGGAAAAAAGUGCCAACUCACCUACCUGAGAAGUUAGGAAGGGGAUGAUAGGUCCCUUCUGGGAAGCUGGGCUCCAGUGUCUCAAAUGAGGGUGUCAGGGCUCUCCCGCCUUUGUCUGCAAAGCCCCAGUUGGGUGCCUCUGUGUGUGACAGCUGGCUCACAGGGGGUGACAGAUUGCAGUCCCUAAAGAAGGCAGUGUCUGCACCGAUUGCUCUAGCAAACUCCCUGGAGGGCUCUGGCCACCCUGGAGUCAGGGACUCCCCCUGCAGCCAGCCCCAUCCAAACUGAGGUAGGAGAUAGAUGGGCCCCCCUGGGCUGAGCAGCUGGGGAGCUCGUCAAACAGAGUAAAUUGGAGCUCUAUUUUCACUAAACACGCCAAGGACAAAGUUAAUAGCAGAAGCUGAGCUCUGCUGGAGUAAAGAGCUCGGGGGACCACAUCUAUGACUCCUGAGGUCAAGGAGACCUCCCCGACUGCACAUGUGCAGGGAGGCUCCUCUGGGGUCAAAAGGGGAGGGAGCGCCAUCCCACAGUAGGUGUUGUCAACCUCCCCGUAAGCCUCCACGCCGGAAUCCAUCUUGGCAAAAAGAUGUGCACGCAUAUUGUGCGGAGGGCCCUAAAGACAGCUCGGAUGUGGGAAAAGAAGCGGGCUAAUUGACCAGAAGAGAACAAAGACCAGGAAGAACUGCAUCACCUCUCUGGCAGGCUUCUCAUUCGGGACACACACACUCUUCUCUGGGUGUGUAUUUCUGCCUUGCUUUUGUCUUAAAUAAACAUACCGUGUCUCUGUG